UCAGACAGACACAUUUCAUUCAACCAGAAAGUCCUGCUCUCAUGAGUCUUAGCUUGUGGGAACGCCUUAAGGUUUGUUUUAUGGAAUUACAUUUUCCAGUUGCACAGGGUAAACAAAGAAACCGUUUCUUUAUACUUCAUUAUUUCUUUAGGAUAAGAAACCGUUGAGUAUCUCACUUCUUCCUGUUUGAGUUUCCUCCUCAGUUUCCAGGAUAACACUCGGAUGAGCAUUAUCUGCAGAGAGCAGCCCCGGAUGUACCCAAACUGCACUUAAGAGAGGAAACUAUUGAUGACCUUCAUGUGGGAGGAAGUUCCUGCAACUGGUCAUUAAUUGUUGCUGAGGGGCCAAAGUUUGAGAAAAACAACAAGUGGAACUAACAGCUUUGAGUUCAAGAUACUAAAAGAGGGAAAACAAGGUGCCGUUGGAUUGCAGCGGGUCUUCACUUUCCUAAUCAGCUCUUCUGCUCUCUCGUCCAAGCAAGGUCAUCCUUCCCUCAGCCUCUGCGCUCAUCCAUUUCCUUCCAACACCUCAAGAUCUGAUUUCCAUCACUGACUCAUAACAUUUCCCCCCUGCAGACUCAUUUCCAAAAAGAAUCCCAGAGACGCACUACGUUUUUUAGAACUAUGAUAUUAUCAGGAAGUUAAUGGCAGAUAAUCCCUCUCAGCAUGUGACCCGUUUAAAGAUAAUCUUGUUUUUUUUAUUCACCUUAGUUUCAGAGGGAUGACUGAGCAGAACUGUGUAAAUGCAUACCUCCAAAACAAGUCAACAAAUCAGUAAAGAUGUCCAUUAAUGGUGAAGGUAUACUGUUAACAGUAUUUUACAAAAGCUGAAUAUUUCCAUGGAAUGCAAGCUUUUCUGAUUAGAAAAUUUGUCAAUACAAUAAAACAUAUGUUAUUCCCCUGUAUAUUUGCAGAAAUCAAUAAAUCAGCAGACAUUUUGUAUAUGUUUUCAAUGAAAGUGCAGUCAUUCAUGACGUAUAUCCAGAGUUAAACGUCAAAUAUUAGCAACAAUUAUUUUAAAAAAAAGACAGAUUUAGGUACAAAAACAGAUGCAGACACUGACAAACUUCACUCUGAUCAUUGGAUUUGGUGCAACAGCUGCCCAAAGAGGGUGUCCAAAUUGAAGUGUAUAGGAAUGCUUUGUUUUCUUGUCAGCAAUUAUUUGUAGAAAGAAGAGGAUCCGUCCAAGAGGAUUGCCCUGAAUAUUAGCUGACUUUUUGUUGUUUUUAUAGUAGCAUUAGUUAUUUUUAUUUGAUAUAUAUUUAUCU